AGAGGCAAUAAUGUUAAUAUGAGUAAUAAGAAAUGUUUCUCCCUGCACGAGUGUAUAUCAGAUCGGAUAAACCACUGGUAGUUACCAAAAUUAAAACAUACUAUAAAUAAAUAAAUAUUAUCUAUUGUAUCCAACACAGGAGUGCGAUAAGGAAGAAAAGAAGUAAAAGGAACUCGGC
rnacentral:rRNA from 1 species